CCUACGGGUGGCAGCAGUGGGGAAUAUUGGGCAAUGGACGCAACCCUGACCCAGCAACGCCGCGUGAAUGAUGAAGGCUCUCGGGUUGUAAACUUCUUUUCUCAGGGACGAAGCAAGUGACGGUACCUUAGGAAUAAGCCUCGGCUAACUACGUGCCAGCAGCCGCGGUAAUACGUAGGAGGCAAGCGUUAUCCGGAAUUACUGGGUGUAAAGGGCGGGUAGGCGGGUUAGCAAGUCAGUUGUGAAACUCAUGGGCUCAACUUCUGAACUGCAUCCGAAACUGUUUGUCUUGAGUGCUGGAGAGGCAGAUGGAAUUCCUAGUGUAGCGGUGAAAUGCGUAGAUAUUAGGAGGAACACCAGUGGCGAAGGCGAUCUGCUGGACAGCAACUGACGCUGAGGCGCGAAAGCGUGGGGAGCAAACAGGAUUAGAUACCCGUGUAGUC
rnacentral:rRNA from 1 species